UGGGACUAGUGGGUUCCAGCACCAUUUACAUCUUAAGUUUCAGCCCUUUCCCAUACGGUUGGUUGCGCUCCUUCCCCAUGGUAGGUCGUUGCCUCUUGCCCUUCUCCACAGCACACGCUCCCCCUCUUCACCUUCUCCAUCAUCAAUUAAAUCCCUCUACUCCCCUCCAACAUAAACAGAUGUACUUAAUUCUUCUUGCACACGUAACUGAUCCAGUUUCUCUCAUCAUAUAUCAAUGGAGCCACUCGAGAGAUCAGCCAUGCCCACCACCUGCUGGUGCCCUGCAAGUUGGCGGGGACACAUCUGCACCCUCAACGCCAUCUCCCAUGUCCACACAUGCUUCUCCAUCCUCAUUCUGCAUAUAGUUUGCUUUUGCAAUCAUUUCCCACGGGUUGAAAAGAUGCUAGGUCGGGUCACAUCUGCGGCCUCGAUGCCACCCGAUCUUGUCUUUAAAUUCUGGUAUAAAACGAAAACUCCACUUUACUGAAGAUGUUGCCGAUAAAUCCCAAAGGCAACGUCCAGCUAUGCUACAACAAAUAUACAAGCUUCAAUGCCUUCCAUACCAGUUACUUAUAGUAUAGCAUUAUCAAUAAUUGUUACUUUAAUCGCUACCUAUUGUAACUAAGAAACAUUCUCAUAAUUCUAGAUGUUUUCAGCGGUAGAAAACUACAAAUAUAUUAUGAUGUGAGACUACAUGUAUCUG